GGACUACAGGGGUAUCUAAUCCUGUUCGCUCCCCACGCUUUCGUACCUCAGCGUCAGGGGCGGCCCAGCAAGCUGCCUUCGCCAUUGGUGUUCCUGGUAAUAUCUACGCAUUUCACUGCUACACUACCAAUUCCACUUGCCUCUGCCGUCCUCUAGGAACCCAGUAUGAGAUGCAUCGAUAUGGUUGAGCCACACGAUUUAACAUCUCACUUAAAUUCCCGCCUACGCACGCUUUACGCCCAGUGAUUCCGGAUAACGCUUGCACCCUACGUAUUACCGCGGCUGCUGGCAC
rnacentral:rRNA from 1 species